AAGCCUGUAGCUUCUGAAUCAAUGAUUGAAUUUAAUUCUCAUAAAAUCCUCUUUCAGCAGCUCCAACAAGCAGUUCUAUGGGAUUUUAUAAAGAUUUCAGUGUCAGAUAAAAAGCACUGCCUGUAUUAGGCUCGAAUCCAGUUGUCUUUCUUUACCAGUAACAGUACACCCACCUCCUCUUUCUUUGAGUUUUGUUAUUAAUAAGGAAAAAUGGGAAAGAAAACCAGGUAAUCAGGGAGGAGUCUUAAAGAGACAGUCUGGUUCAGUUUCUUCAAACUACUGAAGAAAAUGCAGGAAUGGAAAUACCAAAAGAGCAGUGUGGGCUGUUUAAAAAAUACUCAGCUUUUGCUUUGACUUUUUUUUAAAAAAACCUCAAAUAUAAAAAAUGAAUCUGUUUAAUCAUGAUAAAGAUGACAGACACUGUUCAGUGCCAAACUCUGAGUUACAAUCAUAUAUACUAAAUUUACAUGGGAUCCCUCUUCAAUUGAAAAUAUUUUCUUUGUCGGAGGAAUUCCCAUCUUGGCACAGUGGAAACGAAUCAGACUAGGAACCAUGAGGUUUAGGGUUCAAUCCCUGACUGUGCUCAGUGGGUUAAGGAUCCAGCGUUUCCGUGAGCUGUGGUGUAGAUCACAGACACAGCUCGGAUCCUGUGUUGCUGUGGCUGUGGCAUAGGCUGGCGGCUACAGCUCUGAUUAGACCCCUAGCCUGGGAACCUCCAUAUGUCGAGGGUGUGGGCCGUAAAAGUUCAAAAGACAAAAAAAAAGAAAAAAGAAAAAAUUUUCUUUGUGCCAAAAGGAUAAAGAUCCCUGGAUGUAAAGAAUCAUCCAGAGAAGUUCUAAAAUCCAUUCUCCAGAUUCUUUCAGAGAAGCAAGUUCUUCCCUUAAUAUCAUCACAAGGCUGUUCUUUCCGGGGAACAUACUUCAGUCUGGAGCACAAAGGACACAUAACACGGUGGCUGCCCAUUGUGGAUGGAAAGUAUUUAGGGAGUGCUUUCAGUUUUUGCUUUUUCCUGAAAUUCUGAAUACAAUGCAAAAGCACUGUCUAUGCCCCCAAUUGCUGUUUUUUGAAAGGUCCCCCCAGGACUCCAGGACUGACAGUCCAAGUCCCCACUCCCCUGCCUCUGGUUCCUACGCAGGUCCUCGCUAAGACCACAUCUCCCCCAGUUCUGACCUGCUCAUGGUGGGGUCAGCAGUGACAGGGAUGAGCCUGGGAUGGAGAGAGCACUCUGGAAGCUCCCUGCUGCUCCCAGGAUUACAGGGAGCAGGGAGUCAGGGAGGUUGAUGUGGGCCCCAUGCAUCCAAGCAGGCAACGCAGAGAAACAGCACUGGGCCCCCUCUGCAGAGUCUGCUCUCAGCGUCCUAGGUUCCCUCCCUCAGGAUGUGCAGAUGCCAGCAACACUGCUUCCUACUCAUUUGUGGGAAGAAGGGUGUAAGCUUUCUGCACUUGAAUAGGUGACUUCAAGGAAUCAAACCAAUGGAUUUUCUCCACUUCCAAAGCCAGUUUGACACUGUGAAGAAAAAUGGUCCUUGGCUGGAGAGGGUAAGAUUUUGAGUAUCUUCUCCUGACACUCAUUAGCCCAUGGCAUAUAAGUGAACAAACCUGUUUCUAAACUAAUACUAUCCUUCAUAUUAGGGACACGACACUAGGAGAAAUAUCUGCCAGCUCUAUUCUGUAUAUAUUUACUAUGUUAUGGUUUGGGGAAUCCUUUUGAGUGUGCAGUAGGAAAAAGUGGAAAAAAUAUUUGAUGAGAAUAUCAUUCAGUUCAACAAAUAUUCAUUAAAAAAAAAAAAAAGGACUAUGGAAUUCCCGUCAUGGCGCAGUGGUUAACGAAUCUGACUAGGAACUAUGAGGUUGCGGGUUUGAUCCCUGGCCUUGCUCAGUGGGUUAAGGAUCCGGCAUUGCUGUGAGCUGUGGCUCUGGUGUAGGCUCGGAUCCCACAUUGCUGUGGCUCUGGUGUAGGCCAGCAGCUACAGCUCCGAUUCGACCCCUAGCCUGGGAACCUCUAUAUGCUGCGGGAGUGGCCCUAGAAAAGGCAAAAAGACAAAAAAAAA
rnacentral:lncRNA from 1 species